rnacentral:rRNA from 1 species
CGGGAGGCAGCAGUGAGGAAUAUUGCGCAAUGAGCGAAAGCUAGACGCAGCAACGCCGCGUGGGUGAUGAAGGCCUUCGGGUCGUAAAACCCUUUUCUGGGGGAAGAGUAAGGACGGUACCCCAGGAAUAAGCCUCGGCUAACUAUGUGCCAGCAGCCGCGGCAAUACAUAGGAGGCAAGCGUUAUCCGGAUUUACUGGGCGUAAAGAGCGUUGAGGCGGCUUCGUAAGUUGGACGUGAAAGCUCCCGGCUUAACUGGGAGAGGCCGUUCAAUACUGCGGGGCUUGAGGACAGCAGAGGGGGGUGGAAUUUCCGGUGUAGUGGUGAAAUGCGUAGAUAUCGGAAGGAACACCAGUGGCGAAGGCGGCCCCCUGGGCUGCUCCUGACGCUGAAGGCGAAAGCUAGGGUAGCGAACGGGAUUAGAAACCCCGGUAGUCCUAGCCGUAAACGAUGGAUACUAGGUGUAGGAGGUUAAAAUUCCUUCUGUGCCGGAGCUAACGCGUUAAGUAUCCCGCCUGGGGAGUACGGUCGCAAGGCUAAAACUCAAAGGAAUUGGCGGGGGCCCGCACAAGCAGCGGAGCGUGUGGUUUAAUUCGAUGCAACGCGAAGAACCUUACCAGGGCUUGACAUGUAGGUAGUAGUGAAGCGAAAGCGGAACGAUCCUUCGGGAAGCCUACACAGGUGCUGCAUGGCUGUCGUCAGCUCGUGCCGUGAGGUGUUAGGUUAAGUCCUGUAACGAGCGCAACCCCUGCCGUUAGUUACAAGUGUCUAACGGGACUGCCCGGCAAAACUGGGAGGAAGGUGGGGAUGACGUCAAGUCAGCAUGGCCUUUAUGUCCUGGGCUACACACACGCUACAAUGGCCGGUACAAUGGGUUGCCAAGCCGCGAGGCGGAGCCAAUCCUCUAAAGCCGGUCUCAGUUCGGAUUGUAGGCUGCAACCCGCCUGCAUGAAGUUGGAGUUGCUAGUAACCGCAGGUCAGCCACACUGCGGUGAAUACGUUCCCGGGCCUUGUACA